rnacentral:misc_RNA from 1 species
GAUGAAGAACGUAGCGAAACGCGAUAUGUAAUGUGAAUUGCAGAAUUCAGUGAAUCAUCGAGUCUUUGAACGCACAUUGCGCCCCCUGGUAUUCCGGGGGGCAUGCCUGUCCGAGCGUCAUUGCUGCCCUCAAGCACGGCUUGUGUGUUGGGCUUCCGUCCCUGGCAACGGGGACGGGCCCAAAAGGCAGUGGCGGCACCAUGUCUGGUCCUCGAGCGUAUGGGGCUUUGUCACCCGCUCCCGUAGGUCCAGCUGGCAGCUAGCCUCGCAACCAAUCUUUUUAACCAGGUUGACCUCGGAUCAGGUAGGGAUACCCGCUGAACUUAAGCAUAUCAAUAAGCGGAGGA